rnacentral:rRNA from 1 species
UGGGGAAUUUUGGACAAUGGGGGCAACCCUGAUCCAGCAAUGCCGCGUGUGUGAAGAAGGCCUUCGGGUUGUAAAGCACUUUUGUCCGGAAAGAAAACGUCGUGGUUAAUACCCGUGGCGGCUGACGGUACCGGAAGAAUAAGCACCGGCUAACUACGUGCCAGCAGCCGCGGUAAUACGUAGGGUGCAAGCGUUAAUCGGAAUUACUGGGCGUAAAGCGUGCGCAGGCGGUCCGCUAAGACAGAUGUGAAAUCCCCGGGCUUAACCUGGGAACUGCAUUUGUGACCGGCGGGCUAGAGUAUGGCAGAGGGGGGUAGAAUUCCACGUGUAGCAGUGAAAUGCGUAGAGAUGUGGAGGAAUACCGAUGGCGAAGGCAGCCCCCUGGGCCAAUACUGACGCUCAUGCACGAAAGCGUGGGGGAGCAAACAGGAUUAGAUACCCUGGUAGUCCACGCCCUAAACGAUGUCAACUAGUUGUCGGGUCUUCAUUGACUUGGUAACGUAGCUAACGCGUGAAGUUGACCGCCUGGGGAGUACGGUCGCAAGAUUAAAACUCAAAGGAAUUGACGGGGUCAUAGC